rnacentral:rRNA from 1 species
GGUCUACUGCCUACCACCCUGAAUGUGAUCCAUCUUGUCUGAUCUCGGAAGCUAAGCAGUGUCAAGCCUGGUUAGUACUUGGAUGGGAGAAAGUUGGAAUUGCGCGUCAGAGGCCC